GAAACGAACGCUAAUACCGCAUAACAUUGGGAUAUGGCAUCAUGACCCAAUCAAAGAUUUAUCGCUGAAAGAUGGGCUCGCGCCCGAUUAGGUAGUUGGUGAGAUAAUAGCCCACCAAGCCGACGAUCGGUAGCCGGACUGAGAGGUUGAACGGCCACAUUGGGACUGAGACACGGCCCAGACUCCUACGGGAGGCAGCAGUGGGGGAUAUUGCACAAUGGGGGGAACCCUGAUGCAGCGACGCCGCGUGAGGGAAGACGGUUUUCGGAUUGUAAACCUCUGUCUUUAGGGACGAAACAAAUGACGGUACCUAAAGAGGAAGCCACGGCUAACUACGUGCCAGCAGCCGCGGUAAUACGUAGGUGGCAAGCGUUGUCCGGAAUUACUGGGUGUAAAGGGAGCGUAGGCGGGAAUGCAAGUUGAAUGUUUAAACUAUGGGCUCAACCCAUAGUCGCGUUCAAAACUGCAUUUCUUGAGUGGAGUAGAGGCAGGCGGAAUUCCUAGUGUAGCGGUGAAAUGCGUAGAUAUUAGGAGGAACACCAGUGGCGAAGGCGGCCUGCUGGGCUCUAACUGACGCUGAGGCUCGAAAGCGUGGGUAGCAAACAGGAUUAGAUACCCUGGUAGUCC
rnacentral:rRNA from 1 species